UAAUAAUUCCAUGACAUUUGCUCCGCUCUAAAUUGCACACACCAAUGGAAUGACCACUUCAACUCUGCACCAUAACACGUUCCUCAAUUUACUACACAUCGUAUAUGUAUGAAGUGGAUUCGGUUGAGGCCUCUUUGUAACUUGUCGCUUUACGCGACCUUAUUAUUCGAUCGAUCCUUCGUUUAGAUAGAGGUAGAGUCGAGGAAUCUCAGUUGUAUCACCUAACCACAUCAUGGCUCAAGAGCAACAACCCCUUGCCUACCCACCACCCCAGCCAGGCGGCCCAGCGGCUCCACCAGGAGCUUACCCACCUGGAGCCGUUGGUGCCCCUCCUGGGGUUCCUGGUGCCCCUGGAGCUCCGGGACAGUGGAUGCAGGCUCCUGCUCCUCCUAGCAACUGCCCUCCAGGUCUAGAGUACCUGACCCAGAUUGACCAACUUCUUGUUCACCAGAAGACAGAACUCUUAGAAGGUAGGUUCAUGUACAGUUUUUUCUUCACAUUUAUAAUAGUAAUAAUUAUAAUUUACAUAGCGCAUCCAUAUUUAAAUUGUAAAUUUCAGACAUCUUACUGAAAUUAGAAUACAAAACAAUAAUGCUUGCGACACUUGGAUGUGGUCAUAGACAAGAUGCAAGCUGCCAGUGUAACAAGUGCUUGACAUAAUUGUAAACAAAUGUAGGCAAAUGAAAAAUGACCUGAAAAGACAAAUCAGUGCAUCUACAUGUAGCAGUGGAUUAUCUGGUUAAAUAUUUCUUAUAAAGGGAUUUAUUAAAACAAAGAAUGUUCUGUAUCAUUAUAUUC